rnacentral:lncRNA from 1 species
AGUGUCGUCUGCUUUCUUUUUGCUUUCUACAAGUUUAUAAAAAGACGAAGUUUUUAAGAUUACAAAGAAAAUUGAACGAUAACUUUCUUAAUGUAGCUGCACGAAAAAUAGCAGAACAAAUAAAAUUACAAAAAUGUGUUCGUCGUGACAACUCUGGUCGCGUUUCUUUAUAGAAUCACUCAAUGCAAAUUCCAUGCUGUUUGGCAGGUAAACAGCAUCCCCGUUUGAUUGAAGAAACCACCAAUGCCGGUCGCGUUAUCUAUCUCUUCUUCCCCUUUCUUUAAAUGUUCUCGUGUACACCCAUGUGAGUAUGGGGGUAUUCACGAGGACGCCCUGGUCGCCUGGUGCAUUCAACUUUUCUGUUGAUGGAGCACUUGAAGAUGCCUGGCUGUGGAUUUCCCAGGUUUAAAGGUAGGAAACAUUCUUCUCUAUUCUUUCUCUUUGAGUGUUUGGUGGCGUUAAUUAUAAAUCGUUAGAUAGUUACGGAGUACGAUUAUUCCCGAGCUAUACCGUUGACAGGAACUGUUUGCUCUAUUGCCGUUUUUGUUGACUCAGUUCUAAGGGCUCAUUUUAAAUAACUCAUUGAUAGAACGACUGCAGAUCAGGCUUGUUUUGUUUUGUACCCCACUACUUCGUCUGUAAGUAUCGAAAAUAUUUCAACUUGAAACCCUUCAAACAAAGUGCAAAGUCGAGAAAAUGGUAUGACCAAGAGGGACCUCCUCGUUUCUUACCGGCUGUGCUGUUGGUUGCCUGAACGGCUGCUGCCCGUUGGCUUGUAGCGUUUGCUGCCUCGUCUGCCGGACUUGGUCGGCCAUCGCCUGGAACGGCCUGCUGGCCUGCUGGAACGGUCUCUGUGGCGCUAGAGGCCGUUGGACGUUGUUAAAAUUCUGAUUGGGUUGCUGGAAAGGCGCCUGCUGUCGUGGUAUCCUGAAUUGCUGCUGCUGCUGCUGCUGGAACGGUUGCUGGAACGGUUGCUGGACCUGAGGGAACCGGUUGAACUGAGCCAAGCUCCCGCCAGCCAAUAGGACGAUCAUCAGGAUCGGCAGCAUCAAUUUGAGUCUCCCCUGUCAACGUCAAAUGACAUUUUCGAUUAAUGAGCUGAUGACAAAGACAAAAGGACAGCAUCCAUGCUUUGCAUAUGGCGUAAUACCUAGACAACGUACACACACACAUCCAGCAAACAGGAUCUGAAAGAUAGAUAGUGUUUCACAAGUAGCUAAGCUCUAUGGAUGCUGUGCUUGCCUGAUGGUGUGUGUGUUCUCUCUAUUACAGUGUAAUAUGUAAAUAACUGGAUAUAGGAGACACUAUCUCUCUCCAUCUAGCGCCUCUACGUACCCUUGAGAGGAGCAGCUGAAGCCAGACGUCUUCAUUACCAUCCGUCAUUAUUUAGGUACUAUCUCAAAAGCCCCCCGCGAGAGAAAACCCAAAAUAACAAACCAUCCCAUAAAGCGCCAAGGUGAAACAGAGGAGACGGUGCUGCUGCACAUAUUGUGGAGGUUAUACGGACCUCAUGUAGCACUGUCCGUGAAUAAGAAUAACACCAUCGAUCAUGCCAACGACAGGACCUCCUUUCUUCUGGCGACCUUAUGGACCUUUCCAGUACGGCACAUUACCAUUUCUCUCAUAAAGCUCCCCACAUCAAAUCUACCACCCUCGAAUUUUUCUUCUUUUCUCUUUUAUAUUUUUGCCAGGCUUACGGUUUAGACCACCAUCAAUUCGCCUUUUUGUUUUGUUUUUGUUUAACAGAGUUCCAGGGAAUCGGAAACUUUUGUCGGUAAAACACCGAAAAAUUUUUACUCGGUUACAACAAGGCCCUAAAGGUCCGACCCGAGUCGAUUUGAACAGAGGCCAAUAUUUACAAAAAGAGCUAAGAGAGAGGAAAAAAGAAAAAAAAAGAGAAAAUUGAAAAUAAAAACCGAAAGCGACCGAAAAAAAAAAAAAAAAACAGUACAAGUUUCAUCGUGUCCUUCUCACAUUUUUAUUUCUUUCUCUCUCUCUCUCUCAUUGUGUAUACACACAUAAAUUUAUAUAUCCGUGCCAAUGGCUUGCGACUUUAAGAGCCUUGCAAAAACGGGCCCCGAAGGGCGUAUAUUACAGUAAAGCUUUUUUUUUAUUUUUAUGUGUACCUAUAGACAGCAGCGCACGACUUUACGGUUUAUAUACGAGAGAUGUCGAAACGUGACUCCGUGUAGAGUUGAGACAAUAUUCCUCGACCAUAUCUAAGGAUAAUAUUAUUGCGAAGCCAGGGAGGAAAAAAUAAAUCGAAAGUGGCGCGGAAUUUAAAAAACAAAAUUGAUUUCGUUAUUUUAUUCGUUCGGGGGUCGCUUCACGAUAAAUUGCGGAUGUCGUCACGCUCGAUUUCGUUGAAUUUAUUUUAAAAAAAAAUAAAUAAAUAAAGGUUGGACGAGAACAACUAUCCCUGUCAAGUUUGUAAAACAACCAAAAAUUCCUCUCACUUUUUGUUUGUUUCAAAUAUUUCGAAAUGAUUCAAAAAACGGGAAACCGGCUGUCGUGUGGCUCUUUUUUGACGUCGUCAAUCAUUAUCAAUGCCUUUCACCCUUUUGGGCCGGCUGGGGUCGAUUUUGUUGCGCACUUGGAACGUAUAUCUAGCAGAGAGAGACAACGGGUCCGAUAGUAAAAGGGUCGCCUGCUCUCUGCUCACUUUUGUAGCUCUCUUGCGAUGCCUCAGCGCCAGCUGGCAACGUGACAAUAGAAAUCCAGCCGUUUGGCCAGCUCUCUUUCACCCCGAAUAAGUCUAUACGUAUGUAUAUAUAUAUACCUGUGUGUGUGUGUUUGCAUUGUGUUUUAUAUUUCGCUGGGGCAACUACGCGCUGGCGACGGCCGCCGCCAUCGCUUUCACCUUGUUUUUGGGUUGUUUUUCUUCUUAUUUCGACGUUCUUCCCUUUCGGCAGGAUGGCGACGACUAUUUUUAGUUUCAAAAAUUUCUUUGCUGCUCUACAACAAUUACCAUUUGGGUGCUAUAGCGAACGGGGACGACAAACACAAUUCGUCAAUAAAUUCACGUCGCGCCAAAAAAGAAAAAAAAAAGACUUUUGAAUCGGGAACGGACGAGGGGGAAAUUCGCCGGUACCAACCGCGAAAGAAAUCGCCUAAGGGACGACGAAGACGACAAACACAUUCGAAGUGCUCAGGAGGAGAGAGGAUCUAGGUGGGCGAUUUUUUGGGUGGACGUGUAUACGUAAAUGGGCCGAUGGUCGACGGGACCGACUCCCGUUAUUCGUUCCUGCAUUUUUGAUAUCGUUUGGCGAUUCGGGCUGAUUCUUUCAGGCCGUCGUUGGGGAUAAUUAAACUUGUAAAAUAUCUGACGCUCGUUUUCUCUUCGUAAAAAUUCAAACUGACGUACUGUACACCCAAAAAGAUGAAGAAAAAAAAAGGGGGGCGGCCAUGACUCUUUUUUAACUGUGCGGUCCAAGUGUUAAAAGAAUAAACUACCAGGGAAAAUAAGAAUAAUGUCGAAAAAAAAAGAGAGAAAAUUGACUUAGUUUAGAAAAGAAAAAGAAAAAAAACAAACACGGCAGGCCAUCGAGUCUCUUCACAUCGUUUCGCUAGCUUUCUUGUCGAAAGUCUACUCUGCUGCUCCUGCCAGCCCGCCACGAAUAUAUUAUGUACAGUAGCGUAUAUACCAUCACCUGUGUACUACAUUUUGUACGCAAUCGUACAUCAUCAUUCAAAUGGCCCGCUGCUGCGCUAUUUGGGUGGUAAUAACACCAGCAUUGUUGUAACAGCCCGAGACUUUUUCGCUCAUUUCAAAUUUCCAGGCGAUGGAAAAAUAUAUUUUUUCUUUUUAAUUUUUUACCUGGAAGACGAAUAGGAGGUAGUAUCGUCUAAUGGCUUAUUAUUAAUUACUACUCGAACGGCUGUGUAUAGAUUGCCCCCCUGUGUAAAUUGAAAUUGUUUUCUGCCUAUGGCCAAGGCCGCAAUAGAUUUUCCGGUCGACGGUGCUGUCUAAUAGACACAGACGCCAGCGCUGAGCACAUUAGGAGCUGCCUAGCUAAUAUGCAGGUGUGCGCAGGUGAAGGCCGUCAAGCCAAAAACGGGGCCUCUCUCACGUCAUUAAAAUAGCCACCCAAACCCCACGCACAUCUUUUACCCAUUCAACGACCUUUCGACUUUUUCUUUUUUCCCAAUUUUGUUUUUCCCUUUAAUGAGACUUUUUCCCUUACGAGAUGAGAAAUAAAUUCGUUUUUUUUUCUUGUUAAAGCAAUAGUGACAGGUUCACAAAAUUCAAUUUGGAGAAUGGAUGUGUGGGCCCACCUCUAGUUUGAAAUUUGUGGCCUAGGUCAAGAGAUGGCCACUACAUUUUUCUUUCAGAGUUUCGGAACUCGAGGGACACUUAUGAGCUAAGUGCUUUCUCUAAUAAGAAAUGUGUCUUUUCUCCCGUUGAUUUUCCUAUUUUCUUUUCUUUUAACGGGCCAUCAAAACGGGCCGGGCAGCACAGAGGAGAGACGACGACGACUUGUUUCUUUCUCCUUUUCCAGUUAACGAAUCAGGUGCUGCGCUUUCGUUCCACCGCCAAAAUAAAGAAGAAAAAGACGGAAAAAACCCACUCGUCGUUUCUCCUCUCUCUCUCUCUCUCUAGUAGAGUUCUACAUAUGCAGAGAAGAGCCCCAAUCUCUCUCUCUUCCCAUGACAACAAGAAAUCAUUUUUGGUUUUUUCUUUUUCGAACUCAGAAUUCUACUGGCGCGAAACAUGUGUUUGAAAUGAGCGAAAAAUCAGAACGACACUCGUUUGCCAGUCGAUUACAGUUAUCCUAUGGAAAUUUGUUCUUUUAUCCAGUCGGGAAGCGACCGAAAAAAAGAAGAAAAAGUCUACACGAUUAUUAGCGAAUUUUGGUUUUCGGUGGUCCCGGCGUUUAGUUCUACGAAUAUCGCCAUCGGGUGCCGCUGCUGCCGCUGUGGCUAAAUGGGAAAAGAAGAAGAAGAAGAAAAAGCCGCAACGCUUGGACUUGGACAGUUAUACAACUUUGGCGUUCGCUUCCGAAUUUCCAACGAAGAAGAGAAAGAAAGAAGAGAGAUUAUCCUAUAUUUUUUUUUUCGUUCACAACAAACUGGUUUUUGUCUUGAGGGGCUCCGAGGAGUAGGAAGAACUUGGAACGAUUCUUUUUUGGCGCCGUGUUUUUUUCUUUUUCGUCUUUCCCGAGACAUCGCCAGCACUUUCUACACACACACACACACGUAUAUAUUUAUAAAAACUUAUGUAACAUUAUUAUUAUUAUAUGCUCGGCUGGCUAUAGUGCUUCUCUAUACUGGUAUCGUAUUAUAUAGCACAUGCGAGAGAGAGAUGUCGGGACGAGAUGGCAACCGAGAAAAUAAAAAGAGAACACGGCAGCAGCGCUCCCGGAGUCUCUCGUGAAGGGAAAUGGACGGGCACAGAGAGAUAGAGAGAGAGAAAGGAAUCGUCACACACACUCUCUCGUCGUGUACUACCGAUCUCAUAAUAAAAAUAGAAGAUAUAGAUGUACGUUUGUCUCUAUAGAUUGCUCGUGUAAUGAUAAAGAAUGGGAUAGAUAUAAGAGGUGAAGUACACAGACGAGUUUUGCCGUGUGUCUUUAGGGAUCAAUGAUAAAUCAUCCGUAGAACCGGAUCGUGUGUCAAAUAUCCUUGAAGAAAAAGAAAAGAAAAAAAAAACAAAACUGAUCGACUGUGUGUGUGUAUACUUUGGUUUUCCUUUUCCUUGUUGUUGAGGUUAUCGAUAUUCCUCUCGGAAGCCACCACCACCACAACAAAGUGAAUCGAAUCUAAAUAAAGAAGAGAAAAAAAAGGGUUUUUUCUUUCUUGAUUUCUUUGUGGGUGGCGUGACGAUCGAUGAUAAUUCACUCUCGAUUCGAUCAUUUCAAUUUGCCUUUUAAAUUAGACUAAUGGAAAAAAAAACUCGAUCGCUUUGGUUUUUUUGUUACCUGUAAUAUACACGCCGACGAUUUUAUUUAUAGCGGGGGAGAGGCCAAAAAAAAAGCCAAACAGGGUGGGUUGAAUUCCGGUUGGAAUCAAUGACCGCGGGAUGGAUAUCAAAUAAAAUACAAUUUCCCUUUUUUUUCUUCCCAUUUUGGAGUUAACAUUUUUCCUCCCCCCUAAUUGCUUCUUUGUCCUGUUGACUCCCAAUCAUCCACCUGUCGAUUUCCCCAAGAAAAAGAAGGGGGGUUAGAAAGAAAAAUAAACCUAGUCACGUAGACGACCAUUUCUCAUGCGACCAUGAGACUCCCUGCUGCCCAGGGAUUCUCUUCUUACAAUUCGAAUAUUUUUUUCCCCCACCAAAUCAUUCCGCUUUAUUCAAUUAGCAUCUUACCCCUUAAACUCACCUCUCCCUUUUCUUGUAUCGUAUAAGAGAGGGGAUUUUAUAUACUAUUUAAUAUAAGGAUAUCUUUGGGUUAUGAUAUAGACUUACCCAUAGCGAUUCCAUCUUCUUCUUUUUUCAACCAACUGAAAUGACGUGGGCCGGCGAGGAAUCAAUUCAAACCGAACAACGAACAAAGUGUGUGAUUCUUCUUCUUCUUCUUUCCUUUCUCUCUUUUUUCUUGGAGAAUGUCAAAAAAAGAGAAAUAAUCAAAACAACACGCGACGCUUCGAUAAUCAAACCACCGUGGUAACACUGGAGAACAUCACGUCACACCGAAUGGAAAUAAUCGGACAAUUUUCAGCCGAGCGCGUCGGGUGUCCGCUGGCCGCCGUUCGUAUAAAAAUUUUCUUUUUACGACCCAAACAGCAGCAGCAACAGAUGUUGUUUUGUUUGAAUGGUUUGUUUUUUUUUAAUUUCGUCACCUGGGCGAUCGACGCUGGGCGGAAUAAAAACCAAAAUUUUCCAACUAAAAAAUAAACGGGCGACACUUUAUACAGGAGAGAGAAGGACGGACGGACGGUUGGUUAGGUUGUUGGUUCGUCGUGAAGACUGAGCGCUGCUCUGAUAGUGGCCGGGCCAGCACAGUGUGUGUGGCGAUCGCGUCUAAGCGUGCGAGUGAGCUGGUGAGCGUGUCUCUCUUUGCGAGUAUAUGCAGCCCGAGCCCCCAGCUCAGCUCAGUCGGCCAGCCAGUCAAGUCCAGGCUUCCUCAGCUCAGUCAGUGAACUUUCACUCUCCGUUUCGGCUCUUGCUGCUGCUGCUGCCGUGCUGUGACUUGUGCUGGCCAACAGCAGCAGCAGUCUCUCUCCGGCCGCUCAAGAAAAGAAAAAAAAGGGGCGGGAGAAGAAGAAGGUGGGCAACCAGCAGUUUCAGCGUGUAUACUAUAAGGCAGGUGUACAUAUCUGCACA